CCUCUCCCAACACUCAAACACCUGCCUUCUGCUUUCUGGGACCUCAAGUUGCAUCUGGAUGCACCUGUGCUAACAGCAAUUUCCCCACUCAGAUGAAGACACUGAAACACAGCACUUAAAUAACUUGCCCACGUCAAAAAGCCAGCAAGCACACGACCAGAAGCACCCUCCCCAGCCCUGUGGCCUCACGAUGAUGUAGGCGUCCAGGAUGGAACGGUACUG